AUUAAAUCAUAUGUGAUUUCUUAGAUCGUUGCGUCCCUUCGGGGAUGUUUGGAUAACUGUGACAAUUCUAGAGCUAAUACAUGCAAUCAAGCUCCAACCUUCGUGGGACGAGCGCUCUUAUUAGACCAAGGUCAACCUGCUGGGCAACUGGCAGUUAGCUGUGCGCGACUCUGGACAAUCAUAGUUGAUCGCACGACUUU
rnacentral:rRNA from 1 species